GCCAUGGUAUAUAAGUGUUUUAGGAUUUGUUUGUUAUGUUUUGGAGCCUUUUUAGAGUAUUGACAGGUUCAAGAGUGUUUUGAAGAUAUAUGGUGAUUUUGGGGCAUUUUGGAGAUAAAGCUAGAAGAAACUCGUAGCUGUCUAUCAAACCAGUCCAGAGUCGACAUUCAGAGUCAAACAUCCAUCGACGGACAACUCUUGUCGUCAAUCGACAGCAAAGCGCGAAAGACCCGACUUGGUUCCCAGCCAACUUAUGGCCGAAGUUCCAAAUCAUUUACAAGAAUGCCCCUAGCCGACUCUAACCUAAUAUGUAUGUGCUCUGCCAUUGUUUUGGACAACACACGUUUUCAUACUUUCUACUUGUUACAGCAGAACAUAUUUAGGGUUUUUAAUAGUUUGGAGAGAAGAUCCAAGACUCCUUCAGAGCUUUGAAUUGGAAUUCCAGUUUUUCUACCUUAUUCUGUUUAUGCAU
rnacentral:lncRNA from 1 species